rnacentral:lncRNA from 1 species
CUAAUCAAACACUCCCUAUAUAUCUCGCACCAUUCAGAGAUCAUAAUUUAUCAUCUUCAGAUGGUUGGUUAAUUGGUGACAACAUCCAAUGGUUAAUUCGGCCAACUCUUAUCUUGGUCUCACAAUUUGCUUCGCCUAUUGGUGGUUGAUGGAAAAGGAGUCAUUGUUCUCUCUCCCAUUAUGAGCGAGUGCUAAGGGCAAAAGCUGAUGAGAGCUAUCCCUUAUCUCGAGGGAGCCUAGGAUAAGAGAGAGAGAGGAAGCAGUAGAUCAUGGAUAUCCAGAGGAAGACGAGCAUCAGAACCAUCCAGAUUUUGUAGAAAAUAAUAAUAAUAAAAAAAACAACUACCUAAAGGUAAAUUUUUCUGUACACCUAUUAAUAAGGAACAUUUCGGACGAGUCUGCAUCCUCUGACAAAAAAAGUAUAAAAAGGCACC